UGCCUGGCAUUCCUGCAGUUGCCAAGGGGUGGGGCUGGGCUUUUGUUCCUCCCGUAUUAUUCAGUCAUUGGCUGUGGGCGCCCAGGAAGAAGCGUGACCUUGGGUGGGGCAGUCUUCUUCAGCCAAUCCUCAGAGAGGACUAACAGCCCUCCCAGCAGAGGGAGAUUAAGUCCUUCACUCCCGGGAGGUGUCUGGGAAGCACAUCCCAGUGUGUACCGCAGCAGCUAUGCAUGUGUCGUUUUACCCAUGAGAAAUCGGAAGUUCAGAAGGGACAGAGCCAGGAUGUGAGCCUAGAUCUAUUAACACCUGUGAAUCCUGUGCUGUUUUCCACCAUUCUUGCUGCCAAUUCGGCACAUUUUCAUGCCUCUCGACUUCUUACGGUGCCCGCCAUAUUCCCAGGACUUGCUGGCACUGAAAGCCAUGAAGAGUAACUGAACGGAGGCGAAUAAGCUCAUAGCUUGGGAGGAAACAGCAACAUAGCAACGUCUUUAUUUUUGCCUUAUUGAUAUAACCUUGUUCACAAAGAAGACAUGGAAGGGAAGGGACUUGGAGAGUGAGAGAGGAAACAGAAAAGAAAGAUUCUGAGGAAGGGCCAGGAGGAAGCAAAUAGAGCUUCCAGUUCACGCUCCGGGAGUAUUCAAAGUGUCCAUGGGAGAGCUAUGGGUGGGCUUGCUUCACAUGCAGGGGGAGGCCUGGCUAUAGCUACCUUCCUCCCAGCUCUGACCCCAAAGUGAGGUC
rnacentral:lncRNA from 13 species